GGAGAUGUGGCCGAGUGGUCGAAGGCGCUCCCCUGCUAAGGGAGUAGGCCCGGAAGGGUCUCGAGGGUUCGAAUCCCUUCGUCUCCGCCA
rnacentral:tRNA from 21 species